GGCGAACGCUGGCGGCGUGCCUAAUACAUGCAAGUCGAACGCACUCUCGUUUAGAUUGAAGGAGCUUGCUCCUGAUUGAUAAACAUUUGAGUGAGUGGCGGACGGGUGAGUAACACGUGGGUAACCUGCCCUAAAGUGGGGGAUAACAUUUGGAAACAGAUGCUAAUACCGCAUAAAACCUAAACACCGCAUGGUGUAGGGUUGAAAGAUGGUUUCGGCUAUCACUUUAGGAUGGACCCGCGGUGCAUUAGUUAGUUGGUGAGGUAAAGGCUCACCAAGACCGUGAUGCAUAGCCGACCUGAGAGGGUAAUCGGCCACACUGGGACUGAGACACGGCCCAGACUCCUACGGGAGGCAGCAGUAGGGAAUCUUCCACAAUGGACGAAAGUCUGAUGGAGCAACGCCGCGUGAGUGAAGAAGGUUUUCGGAUCGUAAAACUCUAGUUGUUGGAGAAGAAUGUAUCUGAUAGUAACUGAUCAGGUAGUGACGGUAUCCAACCAGAAAGCCACGG
rnacentral:rRNA from 1 species